rnacentral:tRNA from 1 species
GGGGAGAUGGUCGAGCGGUCUAAGGCGAUUGCUUUGAACGCAAUUUAUACGUAGGUUCGAAUCCUACUCUCCUCU